UGGUUUUGAAAAGCAAUCUUUUUCUGCCUAAAAGACAUGAAUUCCUUCCUAUUUUCUCAAGAAACAAAACAAAUAGAGAGAGAAAGAUUGGAUGUCUCUCACCACCGCAAAUUGCCACAAACCACAGCAAACUACAUCCUCCACCUUACAGCUAGGGUUCUACAAAGAUGCCACAAACCACCACGAACUACAUCCUCCACUUUACAGCUAGGGUUCUACAAAGAUGCCGAUAUCCAAGACAUUUUGAGCAGGGAAAAGACGUUGCGUCGUCAAGUAAAGGGGAUUGAGCGAUGUGCUCUGGUGGUAGCCUGCAGUGCGAUUUUGUUUGUUUAGAGAUGAUGAUGGGGAUAUGGUUUCAAAGAAGAACGGACUCAGGAAGAGAUUGUGAAGUUGAAGAAGAAGCAUUGACAAGGGAGGAGCAAUAAUUAUUGACAAGGGAAAGCAUAGUAUAUUAGUAUUAAUAAAAACACAGGUUGGACUCUAAAUUUUUAUGGAUAUUACAUAGCAUUAAUGGAUUAUGUAAAGAAAACUCUUGAAAUAGUAAGUGUUAGUUAAUUCUCAGUUUUAAACAUGCUACAAUGUGCA
rnacentral:lncRNA from 1 species